CCUACGGGUGGCAGCAGUGGGGAAUAUUGCACAAUGGGGGAAACCCUGAUGCAGCGACGCCGCGUGAGCGAUGAAGUAUUUCGGUAUGUAAAGCUCUAUCAGCAGGGAAGAAAAUGCCGGUACCUGACUAAGAAGCUUCGGCCAACAACGUGCCAGCAGCCGCGGGAAUACGUAGGGGGCAAGCGUUAUCCGGAUUUACUGGGUGUAAAGGGAGCGUAGACGGCUGUGCAAGCCAGAUGUGAAAGCCCGGGGCUCAACCCCGGGACUGCAUUUGGAACUGUGUGGCUGGAGUGUCGGAGAGGCAGGCGGAAUUCCAAGUGUAGCGGUGAAAUGCGUAGAUAUUAGGAAGAACACCAGUGGCGAAGGCGGCCUGCUGGACGGUGACUGACGCUGAGGCUCGAAAGCGUGGGGAGCAAACAGGAUUAGAUACCCCUGUAGUC
rnacentral:rRNA from 1 species